rnacentral:rRNA from 1 species
UACGUAGGGUGCAAGCGUUGUUCGGAAUCAUUGGGCGUAAAGCGCGUGUAGGCGGCCAUUUAAGUCUGAUGUGAAAUCCCGGGGCUCAACCCCGGAAGUGCAUUGGAUACUGGAUGGCUAGAGGGCGAGAGAGGAUGGUGGAAUUCCUGGUGUAGGGGUGAAAUCCGUAGAUAUCAGGAGGAAUACCGGAGGCGAAGGCGGCCAUCUGGCUCGCAUCUGACGCUCAGACGCGAAAGCGUGGGGAGCAAACAGG